rnacentral:pre_miRNA from 1 species
UGUGUACUCCCUCCGUUCCAAAUUACUUGACUUCCAUUUGUCCAAAAAUGGAUGUACCUAUAUACUAAAACAUGUCUAGAUACAUAUAUAUUUUGACAAAUAGAAGGCAUGUAUUGUGCAACGGAGGGAGUAGAAU